GGAAGAAACUGAAGGCGCCUUGUCUCGACUCCAGCCAGCUUAGUUCUUUGGAGAAGCAGUGUGGAGUCCUAAAAAAGGAGGCUGAGUCUUACCGUUGAGGUCGGUGCCGGUAGAGAAUGGGAGGGAGUCUGCAGGAGCCAAGCACCCUAAAGAAGAGGAAGAGAGCACGUUGCUGAGAUUUGAACAGCGACCUGAGAGGUCAGACUGGACCCAGGCCUCCUCAAGGUUUUUAGGUUUUUGCCUGUUGCUCUUAGGGAUCCAGGGGCAGAGUUUUGCCUUAGGUGCUGAAGAUACUUCAUGCUGCCUAAUAUUCUACCGAGCCAGCCUAGGGGACUUGGAUCUGUCUCGCCUGGGGCUAAGAGAAUAGUUUCUCUAAGAAGAAAACAGUUCUAAUUCAAAGAUGCUGGAUCUGGCUUCCUUUAAAGCCUGAAGUCGCUGAAGUGGCCAUAGAACUAUGGGGUCCAGAGGACUGCCAGUCUCAGCCAGCCUUUAGGCUGGAGAGAGGCUGUGGGCCUGCUUGGGGACUAAAAUGGAUGAAUAAGAAACCUGUAAGAAAUGUAAACAGAUGGAAUGGCAAGGAGGAGAGCGCUGGAGAUUGUUCAGGAGGAAUUCCACCCGGCUCUGGGGCGUGCGUCCGACAAGCCCCUAGGGGGAGAAAGGAGAAGGGUGAAGGCCGGGCUAGUAGUCGCUGCCCGCUGGGCAGCAUCUGGAGGCCCGUGCGGGAUGCAGGCGAGGGGGAUGGAGCGGCGCCGCUGGAGGAAAUUGGCUUCCCAUGGGACCUGCAACUGUCUGGAAACAAAAAAAGAAGCCUACCAAAAGGGGAAAUUUAAAGGAGAGCAAGAAACCAUGAAGAGAGAGCCGAAAACGCGAAAGUAAAGAGUUGCCCAACUUAUUUAAAAGCAUGCGUAAUUUUGCCCGGGAGUUUCCGCAGCGUACUCUAACUUUUCUCCGCCUGCUUCCUUGGACCCAAUUUUCUUGUUCUUAUUCUGGAAGGUUUUUUUGUUUGUUUGUUUGUUUGUUUUUUGUUUGUUUGUUUUUUAACUUGACUUUACUUUGCCUGGGAACUGCACGUUUGCAUACUCCUGCAGGCUCUCUACCCUUGGCAAUGGACAGAGAAUAGCAUCCGGGCGGGAGGCUUGGCUGGGAAAGAAAGCCCUGGCGUCACCCGCGGGUUCAGUCUAGGCACUCCCCUCAGAGUACCGCAGGAGCAGGCAGAGCCACUGGCCUAUACAACCUCUGGGCUGCUGGCUACUGGGGUGAUCUGGGCCAGCGUGAUCUUAUUGAAUUUACUAAUGACCAGAGAGAUUUCUUAAGCCAAGUCCCCAGAGAACGAAUCCAAAAUGAGUAAAACAGUUGCCACUCCAGGCUCUGGCCAAGGUUGGGAAUCACAGCUCCUUCUCUGGCCUCCUCCAGUUGGAGCACGAGGUGAGCUCACUGGUGGGCUCCGCUCUCGGGGGGGGGGGGGGGGGGGGUUGUGGUCUGCGCUGCAGCAUACUGUUGAAGACACUUCUGGUAUGUUUCUGGAAACAUA
rnacentral:lncRNA from 1 species